rnacentral:rRNA from 1 species
GGAAUAUUGCUUAAUGGGCGAAAGCCUGAAGCAGCAACGCCGCGUGUGCGAUGAAGGCCUUCGGGUUGUAAAGCACUUUUUGGAGGGAUGAGGAAGGACAGUACCUUCAGAAUAAGCCUCGGCUAACUACGUGCCAGCAGCCGCGGUAAAACGUAGGAGGCGAGCGUUAUCCGGAUUUACUGGGCGUAAAGCGCGUGUAGGCGGCUCGACAAGUUGGAUGUGAAAGCUCCUGGCUUAACUGGGAGAGGUCGUUCAAAACUGUCGGGCUAGAGUAUGAGAGAGGGAGGUGGAAUUCCGGGUGUAGUGGUGAAAUGCGUAGAUAUCCGGAGGAACACCAGUGGCGAAAGCGGCCUCCUGGCUCAAAACUGACGCUCAGACGCGAAAGCUAGGGUAGCAAACGGG